rnacentral:lncRNA from 1 species
AGAUCAAAUACCGACAAUGUUUGCAUGAGCAUACGUCCCUACAUAUACUAAAGCAACAAACAUACACCUAUUCAUAACCACAUGUCAACACAUAUAUUUCCCACAUAUACGUAAGACAAAUAACAUCGAAAACAACCAAGCACACAAGCAUGGAACCACAACAAGCAUAACCACAAGCAUANNNNNGAAAUAAAAAGGUGCCCUUACCUCGGCAAUGCUUCCAACCAAAAACCACAACGUUUCACACUAUCUACCGUUUCGCGUUUCCUAAAAAUAACGAGCGGACAAUGAAUAAGUUUCUCCCAAAAUAUCUUAUCGAAACUAAACCUAUCCACAAAGGUCUAGAGGUGUCUAAGGCACUUCCUAACACUCUCGGAUAUUAUUUCCGAGUCCUCCCCAUUGUGAUUAAAAAUUCCCGAAGUUAAAUACACUAUUUUUCACAAAACAACACAUUUUCGUUUUCAAAGCAUACCAUUGCUCUCUAUGGUUUUAAACUUCAAAGGACACUUUCAUACACUACCAAAACACUUGAAAACAACCUAAAAAUUUUACGAAAAUAUCUCGACAAAAUAAUCGAGUUUUUCUUGCGUCGCAAGUUUCAAGUUUUUUUCUUUCCAAAUACAAUCCUAUAAUCAUACUUUGACCCACCUAUGAUCAUUUCAUCAAAGCAUGAUCAUUUUUCCCAAAAUUGUGGACUUAGAAAAAUUUCACAAAUUUUCCCCCCCACACUCCUUUAGGUUCGGCCAUUGAAAAAGGAAAUGGCACUUCCGCUCAAAAUUUUUCGCUUCCGAGGGCAUGGUAAUAUCCCAUAAUACCCCCGAGUCACUAAUCCAAGCCCCAAAAAAAUUUCCGGGCAAAGCCUCUAAUUACGAAAAAUUCAAUUUUUUGUUCUUUGACACACAUACAACACAAAAACCAUUUUUACCCAAAACUUUUUGCAUAAACCUUCUCAUACAUAAAAGAGGAUUACAACCCAAAAGUCUGUGCCUUUUCAGCGCACGAGCACAAAACAGACUUAAACUCAGCCAAAAAUGCCGUUAUUACAACGAUACAUACAAAACGACUUAAACAAAAACCCUAAAACUUUUAUCCAAUAUUUAUUUUCCUUACACAAAAUAAACUGUGAAAUUACGGGUCUUACACAUUUAAUUAGGCCUUUAAUUAAAUAUGUGCUCCCACUAUUUUACUCAAAACAAAUGACCCUCGACAUUUGAUUCGGAAAAUCCCGUUGGAAGAUUUUCUAGUGAGAAUGAGAUCCAUAUUUCACUUCGUUUUAAGUCAGCGUUGGGCUGAU